ACGCAGGUCUCCACAACUGACACAAACCGUGCAACUUGAAACUCCGCCUGGUCUUUCCAGGUCUAGAGGGGUGACACUUUGUACUGUGCUUGACUCCACGCUCGGUCCACUAGCGAGUGUUAGUAACAGCACUGUUGCUUCGUAGCGGAGCAUGGUGGCCGUGGGAACCCCUCCUUGGCGACAAGGACCCACGGGGCCGAAAGCCACGUCCUUGUGGACCCACCAUGUGUGCAACCCCAGCACGGCAGCUCUACUGUGAAAACCACUUUAAGGUGACACUGAUACUGGUACUCAGACACUGGUGACAGGCUAAGGAUGCCCUUCAGGUACCCCGAGGUAACACGCGACACUCGGGAUCUGAGAAGGGGACUGAGACUUCUUUAAAAGUGCCCAGUUUAAAAAGCUUCUAUGCCUGAAUAGGCGACCGGAGGCCGGCGCCUUUCUCCUUAACUACCACUUCUUA
rnacentral:other from 20 species